rnacentral:sRNA from 1 species
AUACUGAGUGCCUGCCAUCUGCUAGGAAUUAGUGUUUUACGUGGCAUCAACUCAUUUAAUCAUAAUGAGAUCCCUAUGAGGUGAGUGCUAUUGUUAUUCCCAUUUUAUAGAUGAGGCAAGUGAGGCACAGAAAGGUUAAGUAACUUGUUAGUAAACUGAAGUCCUGGAGUUUGAGCCCAGGCAAGUUUUACUCUAGAGUCCAUGCUUUUAACCACUGUCCUCUUCUGCUUCUUAAACAGAGUGCCUACUUUCCCCAGGCUCUGAACAAAACCAAGUCCCCGUCCUUGUGGGGCUUGCAUUCUGUGAACGGUGGCUGUUGGGAUGGUAGCUUUGGGUGGUUCAUACGUAUGGUCGGAUAGAGAAUUCAGGCAGGGUUUUACAUGUGAGCCCUAAGGCCUAGGACUUAAUCCUGGAGGCCGUGCGAGCCAUGAGAACGGCCUUAGCAGGGGGAGGGGUCAGCUGGAUUAGGAACAGCCCCCUGCCCGGCAUCUACUCUGCUAGCCUUUCCUCUGAGUCCCUACACAGAUUUACACCUCUCUUGGAGCUAACAGUGCCAGGCCUCCCCCACGCAUUUCUACCCCUGACCGCCUAGCCUAGGAUAGAACCUCAGCUGCCCUUUACAUGUCACUACCUGCCACCUUUAUACACACAGCUUCCAACCUUGGGCCCAUUUGGAGAUGUGAAAGUGAAGGCUUAGAAAGGGCUGGGGUAGGGAGGGCACUGCACGCCUUCUGCCUGAUUUUUCUGACCCUAUUCCCAUGACCCUCGCCUGUCACCCCAGACCUGAAGGCCUUCAUUCUCGUCAGUGGUCCGGCAGCCAGGACUCCCAGAUGGGCUUCCCCCGGGCCGACCCUGCCUCCGAUCGCGCCUCCCUCUUCGUAGCUCGCACCCGCCGCAGCAACAGUUCUGAGGCCCUGCUGGUGGACCGGGCCGCUGGUGGGGGAGCUGGCUCCCCGCCUGCCCCUCUGGCUCCCUCUGCCUCUGGCCCCCCAGUCUGCAAGAGCAGUGAGGUGCUGUAUGAGCGCCCCCAACCAACCCCUGCCUUCUCCUCCCGCACAGCAGGCCCCCCAGACCCUCCCCGGGCCGCCCGGCCUAGCUCAGCUGCCCCUGCCUCCCGAGGUGCCCCCCGGCUCCCACCUGUGUGUGGAGACUUCCUCUUGGACUAUUCCUUGGACCGGGGCCUGCCCCGCAGUGGCGGUGGAACAGGCUGGGGGGAGCUGCUGCCUGCAGCUGAGGUCCCAGGACCCCUCUCCCGCCGGGAUGGGCUCCUCACCAUGCUCCCCGGCCCACCACCUGUGUAUGCAGCUGACAGCAACAGCCCCCUCCUCCGCACCAAGGACCCCCACACCCGUGCCACUCGCACUAAGCCCUGUGGCCUGCCCCCAGAGGCUGCCGAAGGCCCUGAGGUGCAUCCAAACCCUCUGCUGUGGAUGCCCCCACCCACCCGCAUCCCCUCGGCUGGUGAACGCAGUGGCCACAAGAACCUGGCUCUGGAGGGGCUGCGGGACUGGUACAUCCGGAACUCGGGACUGGCUGCGGGGCCCCAGCGCCGGCCUGUGCUCCCUUCCGUGGGCCCGCCACACCCACCCUUCCUCCAUGCCCGCUGCUAUGAGGUGGGCCAGGCGCUGUACGGGGCCCCCAGCCAGGCGCCACUCCCACACUCGAGGAGUUUCACGGCGCCCCCUGUCUCUGGCAGGUAUGGGGGGUGCUUUUACUGAUGGGUAGGGGUCUCGUAAGGCAGAUGGCGAAGAUAUCCAGGCCAGGGAGUGGCUAGUCAUGAUAGCUAAUGAAUUGGACCAUGAGGAAACUAGCUGCUGUGAUGGCACAGGGUCACUCUACUGCACAUGACCUGCAUUAGUCCAUGGGGUCCUGGUGGAGGGGAUCUUGGGCACUGGUAGCAGCAAUUCUUUAUCAAGUUAUAGGCUGAAGAUGAGCCUUGAAGCCAGGGUGCCGGGAGGAAGGGACAUCUCAUGCCCCUUGCUGUUUUCUUCCUUUUUUCUCCAUGCCCCAGAGCCUGAAAGUGCUGUCCUGUGCCUGCCUCCACCUCUUUAACGAGCCUCUUUUCCUUUCUUUUUCUGUGUCUUGUCUGUCUUUUCCUCUUCUUAUCUUCCCCGCCCUGUCCUCCGGAUUCCUGCUACCCCUUCCAAAGAUACUACGCGGACUUCCUGUAUCCCCCGGAGCUGAGCGCUCGUUUAAGUGACCUGACGCUAGAGGGGGAGCAGUCCUCCAGUUCUGACACCCAGACCCCGGGGACACUGGUCUGACCCCUUCUGAUAUGUCCCUUGUUGGCCUGGGCACGAUUCCAAUCUGGGGAGCACACAGCUGACCUCGCUGGGCCCUGGGGUGUGGUUGCUCUCAGUCCUGAGCGGAGUGCGCCAACCUAAUCUUCCAAGGCCCCUGGCUCCCCGUAGGCCCAGGAAGGUGUCUGACACCCUGCUUCUUCUCUCACACUGUGCUGGGGACUGGGGGCCCUCAGCCAGCUUAAAAGAGGGGGGAUGAUGUCAUGGGGACCCCAAGCCCCUUCCUCCAUUUAUGUUUACAGUUGUGACUUAGGUAUUCACUGUCUUCCUCCAACACUAGGCGUUUUACAAAAGGGAAACUGUGAUCUCAUCUGGUUGGGUUCAUUCCUGUUCCCAUGCCCAACCAGGUUCCAUUCAGGAACCCCCUCCAUAAAAUGGACCAUAUCGGGUCUCAGGGCCAUUUAGGGCAGCCAGGAGACUCUGGUGUGAACAGAAAUCCCUGCCACGCAUCGCCAGGGCAGUUGUUGGGGCAGUGGGCUCUCUGCCCACACUUGGAAGGACUGCAGUCUGGGUGGGAUGCCUGAAAGAGCCCAACCCCGUCUGUGCCCAUGGCCUCUGCCCUGACCACCCCGUCAGGAGGCCCCACAGGAGGGGUAAAGGGAAGAGCCAUCAGGUGUGCUGUGUCCUGGGAUCCUGUGGGGGUUGAACUUGGCAUCUACCAGAUCUGGCACCCGGUAGAUGCCAGUGAAAUCCUUAGGUGAGGUCUGCCUACGGGCCACGGGCCACUC